CCUUCUGCUAGAGGCGUUGCAGGUGUGGCUUCUGUGUCACCAGUGUGUCACUAGGUAGCGGAGAGGAGAGAGGCAAUUCUACACUCAGUGUUCUGACCUAUGAACAUCUGGAUGAUUAGUAGCCUAACAUU